AGAAUUAGUAAAGUUUGACUACAUUUAUUUCAGAAGCAUUUUGGCUGUAGAGCAGUGAUUUGCUAUUGACAGGGCAUGGAAAUUUCUUACCUAUUUUGGCCCUCCGUGCCUUCCGUUCUGCUGCUAACGAAGCAUCCCCCAGGGCUCCCUCUGCCUGUGCGACUGGCCAGCAGGGGGCGGUGAUAACUUUUGAUCUACUUAUCAGACACUGUGAGGUAACACUGUUGCUGGGUGGGUGGAGGAGUGUGUGUGUGUGGAGAUUGGAGCUGAAGGGGCAUUGUGGUAGGCGGAGGCCUCUGGGUGGCUGGGCAGGGGGUACCCUUGUCAGGUUGGUGGAUUCUGGAGGUUUGGGGUUUUGAGGGGUGGUUCUGAUGUGCCCAGCCCUGAGGCUAUGGGUCCUGGAGGUGGGUCUGAUGUGCCCAGCUGAGGGUCUGUUGGCUGGGGAACAGCGGGGGUGGGUGUCUCUUGGAGAGGGGGGGCGUGGGGUUAGAGAGUGCCUGGUGCUGUCCCACGGGCUCUCUGUCUGGGAUUCCUCCGCAGACUCCUGGGAUCGUUGCCAUACCCAGUGCACAGAGCUGUGGAGGGGCAUCCCUGACACUAGGUCAGGGGAUGCUGGGCAAGCAGAGUGAGGGGUCCCACGGAAAAGUAUCAGGGGGUGCCGCUAGGUGGAGGAGGGAGUCCCAGGCAAACGGCAGGGCAGAUCCUGGUGGAGGGCAAGCAGGGGUCCUAGGCAGGCAGUGGGGGAACCCCAGGCAGGCAGUGAGAGUUCCCAGUGGGGGCUCCAUGGCUGCUGGGGGCUCUUGGUGGGGGGAACCCUUUGGGAUUCCCAGGCUGGCAGUGAAGGUCUGGCUGGUGGGGCUCUGAGGGGUAUUUGGGGUCCCUGGCCAGGGAGUCUGGGGGCUGGGUCCCAGGGAAUAUCUGGUGGGACCCUGGCUCGGCGGUCUGGGUUCUGGGGGACCUUGGCUGGGGGCUCUGGGGGCUGCUACUAACCAUGCUUCUUCUCCCUGAUUGGCUUGUGCCAGAAUCCUGGCUCCAAGCACUGCCCGACAUUCCCCGGCCACACCCAGUCACUGUGAUAACUUUCUAUCUACUUAUCAAACACUGUGAGGUGAAAUCACACAUUUUGCUUUUCUCCCCUCUUGAAAACUGCAAGAACUUCCGGUUCCAUUAGGAAAUUUCCUGUCCCCCAGUCCUUGUCCUAGAUCUGGGGGGUGGGGGGUGUGAAGGGGGUUAGCACUGCCACACAAUGGUCUCUUCCACAGCAUUCUGGACUCGUUCUUUCUGAAAUCUGGUUUCAUUGAGAACAUUGUUAAUCCAGAGUCACUGCAUGGAAACACUAGGAGUGACUCCAGAUGGACAGUGGGGCAAAUGAGAUUAGCAAUUCUCCCUGUGAGGAGGGGCUCUCAUUAGCUGCUCUCUCCAGAGAGCUAAAGGAGGGAAGCUGCUCAAACGCUCUGUUCCUCUGUGCUCAGGGUAUUGGGGUUCAGCUUCCUGGGUCAGACGCUGCAGCCUCCAUUGUGAUCUGGGAGACCAGGCUUGGCAACUGCAGCUCCCCCAGCGGGGGGUCUGUGCUGGGAAGUGACCUUAAUUAAAGCUUCUUCUCUGCCUGGCCCAGGUGAUGACUUUCUCCAGCUGGUACUAGCCCCCUGAGGCACCCCUGGGCCCUGUUAAUACUAAAUUCUGAGCCAGAGACUCCAGGCUGCAGAAUGACGUCCAUGUUUUGCUCCAGUUCAUCCUGUCCUCCCAUGGGACAGGGGAGAGAAAUGGCUGCAGAGGAGCCAGCUCAGGGGCCGGUGACUUUCGAGGAGGUGGCUGUGUAUUUCACCAGGGAAGAGUGGGCUCUGCUGGACCCCACUCAGAGAGCUCUCUACAGAGACGUCUUGCAGGAGAACUAUGAGAAUGUGACCUCGCUGGGUAAGGGUUACUGUCUCCUCGGUUCUUGGAAGGGGAAAUGAAGAGAUAAGGUUCACACCAGCCCACAAUGCCACCUCUACUCUGUCCUGUUUCAGCUUCACCCCAAUAUGCCAGUGACACACACACUACCCAAAGUGUUCUGCAGCAGGGGAGGGUCUCUGGAACAGAGCACAGGAGCAGUAUCGCACAGUGUCAAAUAUCUCCGGUUUGCUCAAGUAAAACUGGGGCUUAGGUCCAGCAUAACGAAUAGAAGCUUCCUACCCGUGCCCUUCUCCACCCAGACCAGAAUGUGCUUUGGGUGUAACAAGCAGGCUGCUGGAGUCAGAGCUGCUGGUCCAGGGUUACUUAUCACACAGACACUCCAUGCAUCCUUGAAUGCUGGCUGGGAGUAUCCAGACAAGGGAGCUCCAUAAGGGAGGUAUAGCUCAGUGGUUUGAGCAUUGGCCUGCUAAACCCAGGGUUGUGAGUUCAAUCCUUGAGGGGGCCAUUUAGGGAUCUGGGGCAAAAAUCUGUCUGAGGUUUGGUUCUGCAUUGAGCAGGGGGUUGGACUAGAUGACCUCCUGAGGUCCCUUCCAACCCUGAUAUUCUAUGAUAAGCAGAACAUUGAAUCUCACACAGCAUUACAGAUGACACAACUCCUCACUCAUCUGGAUUGCACCCCAGCAUGUGAAAAUGGUUGAGGUUGGUAGUGAAAAUUCUUGAGACAUGGAGAGUCUUGCUCCCCUAUCACCAUAUGUAAUAGCCAUAAUCCCUCUUCUCUUCAGGCUCCUUGGAUUUUUGAGUCCCUCAUUCCCAAACUCACAUGACUCCGAUUCUUCUUUUUCACAAUCUGCUUUUCCAGACUAAUUAGAGUCUGUUACUCCUGAAUUAUAGCUUCUAAUUUCCCAGUGUUCUCCACAGCCAGGGAUUUUCCUACUCCCUCCCAUUACACUGGACUCACUAGAUUCCCUAGUAUAUAAGAACGGCCACACUGGGUCAGCGCAUAGGUCCAUCUAGACCAGUAUCCUGUCUUUCAAGAGUGACCAAUGCCAGGUGUCCCAGAGAGAAUGAACAGAACAGGUAAUCAUCAAGUGAGUCAUCUCCUGUUGCCCAUUCACAGUUUAUGGCAAAUAGAGUUUAGGGACACCAUCCCUACCCAUCCUGGCUAAUAGCCAUUGAUGGGCAUGAAUUUAUCAUGUUAUUUUUUUUUAAC